rnacentral:rRNA from 1 species
CACGCAGGCGGAUCGAUAAGUCAGGGGUGAAAUCCCGGGGCUCAACCUCGGAAUUGCCUUUGAUACUGUCGGUCUCGAGUCCGGGAGAGGUGAGUGGAAUUCCUAGUGUAGAGGUGAAAUUCGUAGAUAUUAGGAAGAACACCAGUGGCGAAGGCGGCUCACUGGCCCGGUACUGACGCUCAGGUGCGAAAGCGUGGGGAGCAAACA